GAGGUGACCAGAUGUUGUGGCAAUUAACACCCAUAUCCUGACCCAUAUUCUGGAAGGGAACGCAAGAGCAAAGAGCCGUUAUUUUAUCAAGGCAAAUUACCAUGACAAAACUUUAAUUGCUAGUUACAGAAGAACAUCUUUGAACAUAAAAGGGAGGUUGUUGGUCCCUAUUUGGAGCAUGGGAAUCAUUGGACAUUUUUUCAUUGUAAUAUUGUGGACCGGAGUAUAACGUACCUAAACUCACUAGGGGAACAGGAUGAGCAGUACUAUAAAAUAG